rnacentral:lncRNA from 1 species
ACGUUAUGAAUAUAUUUCUACAGGCGGCUUUCGGAGUCUUGGUUGUAAACCUUCUGUGUAACACUGUUUUCUGCUUGAAAUUGCAGCCUGAAACUACGUUGUGCUUCCAGUGACCCUGUGGGAGAAGGGAGCUGAGGGGCACAAAGCGUGGGCCACCGGCUGGGAGGACACCCCACAUGUACCCAGUUAGGCGCUCCUGGACAAAGAACUGAUCAGAUGUUGGAAACAAUCCUAGGCUUGGCAUGAAAUGGUACAUGGCACCAGAACUUCCUGAGGACUCGAUUCUGUUUGAUGGCUUUGAUGCCUGUAAACAUAUUGACAUGUGGGCAUUUGUUCUUGUUCUACGGGCAAUAACAAGAGGAACAUUCAGUAAAGGAGUUUAA